rnacentral:tRNA from 1 species
GCCUUUGUGGCGCAAUUGGUAGCGCAGGACAUUUGUAAUGUUCAGGUUGCAGGUUCGAGUCCUGUCGGGGGCUCCA